GGCAUAGCUUCAUUAAAGUCAGUAGAGCUACAGUGAUUUACUGCAUAGUGAUUUACUGCAGCUCAGGUUUUAGUCCAUAUAACUUGGAUAUGAUUUGAAUUAGUAAUAUCUGUUGGAAAAUGCUAGGAAAUCAAUAUGGUUUACAGGGAAAUCAUCAUCAAACUGAUCUGGCAGCAAACUAGAUAGAUAGAUAAACUAACUUGUUGCAGUUCUAGUUAGUGCAAAUGUAUUUUCUGGGUUGAUAGUGUUCUUUUCUUUCAAAGGGUGAUCAAGGUCCUCUGGGUCUCAAAGGAUUACCAGGAGCAGAGGGCUUCAAGGGGGUAUCUGGAACACCAGGAAACAGAGGAGAGCCUGGGGCAAAAGGAGAAAAGGGUUUUACCGGAUCUCGAGGAAGGAAAGGUACACCUGGUCCAAAGGGAAUACGUGGAGAUCCUGGAUUGCCUGGGCGAGAGGGGGAUCCUGGUAUAGAGGUAAAUGGGGUGUGGAAUUCUGAAGUAACCAGUAUUUUGUUUAUGUAAUCUUAAAAACUA
rnacentral:lncRNA from 1 species